rnacentral:rRNA from 1 species
AUUGAACGCUGGCGGCAGGCCUAACACAUGCAAGUCGAGCGGAUGAAGGGAGCUUGCUCCUGGAUUCAGCGGCGGACGGGUGAGUAAUGCCUAGGAAUCUGCCUGGUAGUGGGGGAUAACGUUCGGAAACGGGCGCUAAUACCGCAUACGUCCUGAGGGAGAAAGUGGGGGAUCUUCGGACCUCACGCUAUCAGAUGAGCCUAGGUCGGAUUAGCUAGUUGGUGGGGUAAAGGCCUACCAAGGCGACGAUCCGUAACUGGUCUGAGAGGAUGAUCAGUCACACUGGAACUGAGACACGGUCCAGACUCCUACGGGAGGCAGCAGUGGGGAAUAUUGGACAAUGGGCGAAAGCCUGAUCCAGCCAUGCCGCGUGUGUGAAGAAGGUCUUCGGAUUGUAAAGCACUUUAAGUUGGGAGGAAGGGCAGUAAGUUAAUACCUUGCUGUUUUGACGUUACCAACAGAAUAAGCACCGGCUAACUUCGUG